rnacentral:lncRNA from 1 species
AUGAAAAUACAUGAAAAGAAUUACCAGCUGUUUUUUUUUAAAACAGAUUGUGUGGAAUAAAAUAAUAACAAAGCAUCACCCCUGUUUCAAGCAUCAGUCACACGAGAAAGGAACUCCACCACCUUCCCUUCCUCCUACAGACGAGAUGCGCUCUUCAUCUUUUCCUCCUCGUUUUCCUCCUCUACCUCACACAGAUGGAAACCCUUUUUCCAAAGGCUCUUUGGGUAAAUAUAACUUUAUAUGUCUCUGAGUCAAUUACAAAAAUAUAGUCAACAUGGUUGUGACCAGAAGCACUUUGCAUGCAAGGGUUUUUGUCUAUUUUAAUUCUUGUUGUUAAAAUUUUAUUCAUUUAGAGCCCACUUUUCCACCCAGAACUUGCAAUGCCCUGUUUUCUGUGGCUCCUAGCACCCUACACAACUCACCCAAUGUAGCAGCUUCAUGAGACUG